rnacentral:rRNA from 1 species
GAGAAUCUGCCCUCAGGAGGGGGAUAACAGCUGAAAACGGCUGCUAAUACCCCAUAUGCCGCGAGGUGAAAUGAAUUUCGCCUGAGGAUGAGCUCGCGUCUGAUUAGCUAGUUGGUGUAGGUAAUGGCUCACCAAGGCAUCGAUCAGUAGCUGGUCUGAGAGGAUGAUCAGCCACACUGGGACUGAGACACGGCCCAGACUCCUACGGGAGGCAGCAGUGGGGAAUUUUCCGCAAUGGGCGAAAGCCUGACGGAGCAACGCCGCGUGAGGGAUGAAGGCCUCUGGGCUGUAAACCUCUUUUAUCAAGGAAGAAGAUCUGACGGUACUUGAUGAAUAAGCCACGG